GGGACACGUGGUAUCCUGUCUGAAUAUGGGGGGACCAUCCUCCAAGGCUAAAUACUCCUGACUGACCGAUAGUGAACCAGUACCGUGAGGGAAAGGCGAAAAGAACCCCGGCGAGGGGAGUGAAAAAGAACCUGAAACCGUGUACGUACAAGCAGUGGGAGCACAGGUUUACCUGUGUGACUGCGUACCUUUUGUAUAAUGGGUCAGCGACUUAUAUUCUGUAGCAAGGUUAACCGUAUAGGGGAGCCGGAGGGAAACCGAGUCUUAAUUGGGCGUUAAGUUGCAGGGUAUAGACCCGAAACCCGGUGAUCUAGCCAUGGGCAGGUUGAAGGUUGGGUAACACUAACUGGAGGACCGAACCGACUAAUGUUGAAAAAUUAGCGGAUGACCUGUGGCUGGGGGUGAAAGGCCAAUCAAACCGGGAGAUAGCUGGUUCUCCCCGAAAGCUAUUUAGGUAGCGCCUCGUGAAUUCAUCUCCGGGGGUAGAGCACUGUUUCGGCUAGGGGGCCAUCCCGGCUUACCAACCCGAUGCAAACUGCGAAUACCGGAGAAUGUUAUCACGGGAGACACACGGCGGGUGCUAACGUCCGUCGUGAAGAGGGAAACAACCCAGACCGCCAGCUAAGGUCCCAAAGUCAUGGUUAAGUGGGAAACGAUGUGGGAAGGCCCAGACAGCCAGGAUGUUGGCUUAGAAGCAGCCAUCAUUUAAAGAAAGCGUAAUAGCUCACUGGUCGAGUCGGCCUGCGCGGAAGAUGUAACGGGGCUAAACCAU
rnacentral:rRNA from 3 species